UGUUAUUCAUGACUGGGGUGAAGUCGUAACAAGGUAACCGUAGGGGAACCUGCGGUUGGAUCACCUCCUUACCAAGAAG
rnacentral:rRNA from 1 species